rnacentral:rRNA from 1 species
GAUGAACGCUGGCGGCGUGCCUAAUACAUGCAAGUCGAGCGAACAGACGAGAAGCUUGCUCCUCUGACGUUAGCGGCGGACGGGUGAGUAACACGUGGAUAACCUACCUAUAAGACUGGGAUAACUUCGGGAAACCGGAGCUAAUACCGGAUAAUAUAUUGAACCGCAUGGUUCAAUAGUAAAAGACGGUCUUGCUGUCACUUAUAGAUGGAUCCGCGCCGCAUUAGCUAGUUGGUAAGGUAACGGCUUACCAAGGCAACGAUGCAUAGCCGACCUGAGAGGGUGAUCGGCCACACUGGAACUGAGACACGGUCCAGACUCCUACGGGAGGCAGCAGUAGGGAAUCUUCCGCAAUGGGCGAAAGCCUGACGGAGCAACGCCGCGUGAGUGAUGAAGGUCUUCGGAUCGUAAAACUCUGUUAUUAGGGAAGAACAUAUGUGUAAGUAACUGUGCACAUCUUGACGGUACCUAAUCAGAAAGCCACGGCUAACUACGUG